UGGGGAAUUUUGGACAAUGGGCGAAAGCCUGAUCCAGCAAUGCCGCGUGUGUGAAGAAGGCCUUCGGGUUGUAAGCACUUUUGUCCGGAAAGAAAUCCUUGGCUCUAAUACAGUCGGGGGAUGACGGUACCGGAAGAAUAAGCACCGGCUAACUACGUGCCAGCAGCCGCGGUAAUACGUAGGGUGCAAGCGUUAAUCGGAAUUACUGGGCGUAAAGCGUGCGCAGGCGGUUUGCUAAGACCGAUGUGAAAUCCCCGGGCUCAACCUGGGAACUGCAUUGGGUGACUGGCAGGCUAGAGUAUGGCAGAGGGGGGUAGAAUUCCACGUGUAGCAGUGAAAUGCGUAGAGAUGUGGAGGAAUACCGAUGGCGAAGGCAGCCCCCUGGGCCAAUACUGACGCUCAUGCACGAAAGCGUGGGGAGCAAACAGGAUUAGAUACCCUGGUAGUCCACGCCCUAAACGAUGUCAACUAGUUGUUGGGGAUUCAUUUCCUUAGUAACGUAGCUAACGCGUGAAGUUGACCGCCUGGGGAGUACGGUCGCAAGAUUAAAACUUAAAUGAAUUGACGGGGU
rnacentral:rRNA from 1 species